UCGAGAAUUUUUCUCAAUGGGCGAAAGCUUGAAGGAGCGACGCCGCGUGGGGGAUGAAGGGCUUCGGCCUGUAAACCCCUGUCAUUUGCGAACAAACCUGCUCAUCUAACACAUGAGCAGCUGAUAGUAGUGAAAGAGGAAGGGACGGCUAACUCUGUGCCAGCAGCCGCGGUAAUACAGAGGUCCCAAGCGUUGUUCGGAUUCACUGGGCGUAAAGGGUGCGUAGGUGGCGGAAUAAGUUCGAUGUGAAAUCUCCGGGCUUAACCCGGAAAAGGCAUUGGAUACUAUUUCGCUCGAGGGUCGGAGGGGAGACUGGAAUUCUCGGUGUAGCAGUGAAAUGCGUAGAUAUCGAGAGGAACACCAGUGGCGAAGGCGAGUCUCUGGACGACUCCUGACACUGAGGCACGAAAGCUAGGGGAUCAAACA
rnacentral:rRNA from 1 species